rnacentral:lncRNA from 1 species
UUUCUGAACUCAGUCUCACAAAUCAUAUAGGACUUCUCUUUUUCUAUCAAAGUCGAUAGAUUUCUUCUAGGUGUAUCUUACUCAUAACAGUGAAUCUAAACCUACUGUAGUCAAUAUACACAGCAAAAAUUUAUAUGGAUAGGGGUUAAGAGAAUGUACAGUCAAACUCAGUAGCCUCACUGUGAAUAGUUGAUGACAUUAC